UGCUUUUCCAUUUCAAAUAAGUACCAUCGUAUUAAAUGGGACAGGAGAAAGAGAAGUCAAAAAACACUUUUUAUCUGUGAGAGAUACUAGGAUGAAGUAAUGUGGUCCAUUAUGUCUUAGGGUUAUAAGCAUACAGCUCAAGUUUUUCUCUUGUUUCUUUGUCAAUUAAAAAGAAACAAGAGAAAAAUCCAUACAUUCUUUCCUACUAUAGUUAUUGUGAAGAAUUUGUCUGGAUAUUUUGCAAAUACACUAGAGAUCAUUGCAUUUAAGAAGUGGUGUGCAUAUAUGUCAGGGACUUGGAAAUCUGCAUUUUAAGGUUUGUAAAUAUAAAAUUGUUCACUAUUAAAUAAGCUGUAAAAACAACAGUGUUGCAGAAUACUGUAAAGGGAAAACACAGAAACAAUGGUUUAUAUGGGCUUCAUAAGGUAGGACUUAAUUUUUCCUAUUUGAGAAUAUUUUGUGUUGCUUGAGUGAUUGUUCUGUAGGUGCUUGUGCUUGAUGAAUUGAUUCAGCACAUCCCAACUAUUAUCUUCUUCUUUUCUACACACCGAAUCUUAAUAGAUUUGCAUUAGUAACUGAUGACUUUUUGCUGUUAGUUGUGCUGGCAAAGGGUGAUUUAGGAGAGGAUCACAUUCUAGAGCAUGGCCUAUGGCAUAUGGUAAUUGGGUAAUAAAGCAUGGCUCUGUCAGUAGGAAAUAUAAAUGCUGCCAUUCCCUGUUUUUGCAGUUCUUCAGCAAGCUUGUAGAAGUGAAGCAGCCAAUACACUUCAGCAAGACAGAGGAGAAUGUCUUUUCUUCACCCCUCAGGGAAAAGGCUGGUGUUCAUCUGGAUCUCACCCUGCUGUGGGCGGCUGGGCUGUGCAUAGGUAUGUGGGUUUGGAUAAAGCCUUUGGGACUCCUCUAUUGAAAAGAGUCACACC
rnacentral:lncRNA from 1 species